GAAGUAAUAUAUACAUAAAAGAAAAUAGCCAACUUUAUAAGGACUAUAUUAAAGAUAAGGCCUCCCGAGGAGAUUUGAAAAUAUUGUACGUUUGAACAAGCAAAGUAAAAAGGUAACGUCAAAUAAACCUCGGAAGAAUAUAUUCAAUCUUUCAGCUCGUUUGAGAUAAAAGUCAUCAUAAAUUACUUAGCAUUUAUUUUAGCUGUUACGUCUACCUGGCACAAACCUGUACUAAAUACGAGUAAUUCUUUUCACUUUCAAAUAACAGUAGUUUUCUUUUACGAAAGUUUUAUCUGCAGGAGUUUCGAAAACGUCAAAAAGGAAAAGUAAGUAGCUCAAGUGUUCGCAGUUGCUUAUAUGAAUCGUAAAUGUAUAAUCUUACUCUUUUGAUUUACUAAUAGCGUAUCCUUCUAUGCCUGGCAAUCGAUAAUCCAACAAGACACAACUAAUAGUGACAUACAAUUGAUGAACACUGUAUCAAUAUC